rnacentral:rRNA from 1 species
AAACCAACUGGGAUUACCUUAGUAACGGCGAGUGAAGCGGUAAAAGCUCAAAUUUGAAAUCUGGUACUUUCAGUGCCCGAGUUGUAAUUUGUAGAAUUUGUCUUUGAUUAGGUCCUUGUCUAUGUUCCUUGGAACAGGACGUCAUAGAGGGUGAGAAUCCCGUUUGGCGAGGAUACCUUUUCUCUGUAAGACUUUUUCGAAGAGUCGAGUUGUUUGGGAAUGCAGCUCAAAGUGGGUGGUAAAUUCCAUCUAAAGCUAAAUAUUGGCGAGAGACCGAUAGCGAACAAGUACAGUGAUGGAAAGAUGAAAAGAACUUUGAAAAGAGAGUGAAAAAGUACGUGAAAUUGUUGAAAGGGAAGGGCAUUUGAUCAGACAUGGUGUUUUUGCAUGCACUCGCCUCUCGUGGGCUUGGGCCUCUCAAAAAUUUCACUGGGCCAACAUCAAUUCUGGCAGCAGGAUAAAUCAUUAAGAAUGUAGCUACUUCGGUAGUGUUAUAGCUUUUUGGAAUACUGUUAGCCGGGAUUGG